rnacentral:rRNA from 1 species
CAGCUUGCUGCUUCGCUGACGAGUGGCGGACGGGUGAGUAAUGUCUGGGAAGCUGCCUGAUGGAGGGGGAUAACUACUGGAAACGGUAGCUAAUACCGCAUAAUGUCGCAAGACCAAAGAGGGGGACCUUCGGGCCUCUUGCCAUCGGAUGUGCCCAGAUGGGAUUAGCUUGUUGGUGGGGUAACGGCUCACCAAGGCGACGAUCCCUAGCUGGUCUGAGAGGAUGACCAGCCACACUGGAACUGAGACACGGUCCAGACUCCUACGGGAGGCAGCAGUGGGGAAUAUUGCACAAUGGGCGCAAGCCUGAUGCAGCCAUGCCGCGUGUAUGAAGAAGGCCUUCGGGUUGUAAAGUACUUUCAGCGGGGAGGAAGGGAGUAAAGUUAAUACCUUUGCUCAUUGACGUUACCCGCAGAAGAAGCACCGGCUAACUCCGUGCCAGCAGCCGCGGUAAUACGGAGGGUGCAAGCGUUAAUCGGAAUUACUGGGCGUAAAGCGCACGCAGGCGGUUUGUUAAGUCAGAUGUGAAAUCCCCGGGCUCAACCUGGGAACUGCAUCUGAUACUGGCAAGCUUGAGUCUCGUAGAGGGGGGUAGAAUUCCAGGUGUAGCGGUGAAAUGCGUAGAGAUCUGGAGGAAUACCGGUGGCGAAGGCGG